GGAAGGGGAGCGCCGAGGAGAAGGGGAGAAGAAGAGAGGGAGGACGGCGUCGGCGGGCACUACUGCCGCCGCUCUGUCGUGUGUCGCCGUUGGAGGAGGAGGAGCGCGAACCAGAUCCAUGGAAGGGAGAAGCAGAGCGCGCACAGGUUAGGAGAAGCCGCCACUGCUCUCUAUGCGUCCUCCUCCAUCCAUCAACUCCUUUAACAUGAUUUUGGGGGCUCUUGCCAAGAGUAACGAUUUCCCCACCGCCAUUCUCCUUGUUCAGAAAUUGCAAGACAGGGGAAUCGCUUCCGACUUGUUUACUUUGAACACCUUAAUCAAUUGUUGUUCUAGCAUGGGUCCUAUGAAGCUUGCUUUCUUUGUGUUGGCUAAGAUUCUCAGGAUGGGUUAUCAACCUGAUACGGUAACAUUGACAACAAUCCUGAAAGGUCUCUGUCUGUCUCUCUGGUAAUGUUGAAAAAGCACUACACUUUCAGGAUAGAGUCCUGGCUCUAGGAUUUCAGUUUAAUAAAGUUACUUAUGGGACCUUAAUUAAGAGAUUCUGUAAUCUGCCGCUAAGCAGUGGUAGGGUAUUUCUCAACACUUUGAAUAGCGGCAUCCGGUGUUACAGGAUCUCUUAAUCAAGGUCCCAUAAGUAACUUUAUUAAAAUGAAAUCCUUGAGCGAGGACUCUAUCACGAAGGUGCAGUGCUUUCUCAACAUUACCACGGAGAAUAACACACAGAGGAAGCAACUUUCAUAAGACCCAUGCUGGAACUUACACCACUCUUAUUCAUGCUUUGUUUGAAAAAGAUGAGAAUGACAUGGCAGAGAAACUUCUUCAAGAAAUGAUUGCUAGAGGCUUAUUGAAUUGAUAAAAGAAGGUGCAGAAGCCUAUUUAACAAUGGCAUCUAGAAAUAGAAGAUUGACAAGUGGUUCCUAUAGCAGCAGUAGUUCUAAUGUCAUGAGGGAAUGUUUUUGCGAUUGUGAAUGAACCGGUUGUAGAACUAGUGAAUGAAAUGCUAUUACUGAAAUUGUUAGAUUGUUUUCUUAUUUUUUGUUUUGUAGUUUGUAUGUUUAUCAUCAUAGUUUUGUUUUUUAAACUCUAAGACUUUGUUUACAAGAACGGGAUAUUGAGACAGGGACAAUGAGAUACAUCGUGUUUGACAGA